AGAGCAGGAGGUCUGGUGGGCAGGGGACUCAGUGAGGAAUGGGAGGAUCAGCCAUCAGUAUCCUCAACAGGAGCACCCUCAACAAAUGAGCUAAACGGCUCUGUUCUCCGGGACAUCAUGUACAUUCCUAGCCAGGACUUACUCAGUGCCAGUAAUACUUUUCCACCACUAGCCGUCAAUCAUGAUAAUCCCAGCUGUCUUUAGACAUUGCCAAAUGUCCCCUGGAAAUGCAAUAUUGUCCCAAGUCAAGAGCCAUUAACCCAGGAGCACCAAGAGACCUUGUUUUUAUAUUUUAUUUUCUUUUACAGUUUUGUGUUUUAAAGUCCUGGAUGGAAGUGACUACCUAGCCAGUCUGGUUUUGGUUUUUUGGUUUUUUGGUUUUUUGGGUUUUUUUGUUUUGUUUUGUUUUGUUUUUGUCUGAAGACUCUGUCUGUAGGGACCCCUCUGGGGUUCUAGAUGUAACUGUGGCAUGGAGCCCGGAACCAGAAAGGGCUGUUGUGAAAUGGGGGAGGUUUCAUUUGAGGGAAGAUUGGGGAGAUGUACUGUGGAGUAAAAAUGGGGUCACACUGGGGACACAUGGCAUGCAGGGUCUUGAGCCACAAGGAGCAGGAACUUGAGCCAGAACAGAGGGACAGGGUGUGUCCUGGACUCCCCGAGGGUGGGUGCUGGAACUGACUUCUCCCUCAAGCUGGACUGGAGGGCUGCAGUACAAGGAGACCUAUAAAGCUGACCUGGGAUGGUGUGUGUGUGGGGGGAG
rnacentral:lncRNA from 1 species